rnacentral:misc_RNA from 1 species
GACCUAGACACUAGAUGAACGAACAUAUGUUUACCAUCUAAAAUUGAUCAUAUCAAGAAAGCACAUAUAAUGGUUGAAACAGAAGGAGGGAACUAUACAUUUUCGGCAAUUCCCUCUGCUGAGUCUUUUCUUGUUAUCUGCAGCAAGCACGGUCUAAGCUUCCAAAAAGCCUUCAUUCUCCAUAUAAGAAACUACUUGCCCCGCCAUCUCAUGUGGUGUAGG